AAGAUCACAUUUCCAUGGAAAUAGCUGCUCAGGGGAGUUUCCAAGAUGGUUGCCUAGUGAACUGACUAUGACUUACGUCAGUCAAGAGAUACUCAUGUGAGAAAGAAAGAGGAAAAAGACAAUUUCGGCUCAUUAGGCAUGAAAGAAGUGAGUCAUGGGAAUGUAACGUGUAAUCAUCUUCAUCAAGACUCUCUGAGGAGGAACAAGUGUUAUUGAAAGGUGCAGACCCUCAAUGGAGCCAAGAGAGGACCUGGGUGAGGGGGAAUUGGAUUUUGCAGUGCCGGGCCCUCAUGGUUUAAUGCCAAGAAAAGCAACCCAGCUGAACAAAUCAGGAACAUGCCCCCAAAGCUGCAGGGUUCCCCACGGAGACAACCUUUACGCUGCUGAAGUCAGAGGUCGCCCGUCCCAGAGGGAAACAGUGGCGACACCCCAGUGCCUGAGGAGACAGAGGCGUUCAGUAGACUAAUGGGGUCUGACUUCAUCAUUAAGAAGGCAAGUUUGCCAGAGAUCACUCAAGUCCAUCCAAGCCUAAAGGGAGCAAGUGUUUCUAAGAUGAUUGACAGCAGUUCUGGUGACGUGUAGAAGGAAGCUGAAACAAAUGAGGCCCUUGUAAGGAAAAGGUUAGUAUGAAAUAGUUGGAUGAAGGUGGUGAUUUAUGAUCUGAUGAAUCCUCUAACCUUGCCAUGUGUAUUUUCUGACAACAACCUCUGCUGGAAAGGGUUAAGGAACCUCUUCCUUGGUUUUCUCUGCGAUUAAUCUGACUGAUUAAUGGGCUGAGGCUGCUUGUGUUUUUAAGACAUGCAUUUGGCUACUCAUGCAAUAGUCUUCAAAGAUGCUUCUGCAUUUAGCAAGCUUGCACAGGCUUUGGAAAAUGAUACAUAGAUUAAACAUUUUUUUCUAGCAGGAAAAACACUCUCAAGCCCCUAUAGUUGGAGGGGGAAUCAAAACUAACAUAACAGUGAAAGCCCUGUCUUCCUGCAAACCCUGGAGAAUGCAGACAUAUUUAUGAACAGCUGCUCUUUGAAUCAGAUACAAGUGAAAAAUGAAUUGAACCCAGUUUGCUUUGUGCUGUUUUAUUCUUGGAACAGGGAUGAUUGGGAGUGUGGGGGACUUUGCCAAGACUGCUCAAACACAGAUUCAUAUCCUUCAUGCCUCUCUGUGACUUUCUGCUUGUGGAAGAGAACAAAAUGCAGAUCAAACAUGUAAAAACAAAAAAACAAGUAGGCGUAACGGAAUGGAGCAAAGUUUUUGCACCGUUGUAAGACAACGGAAACUGCAAUGAUAGAUUUAUAUAAACUUUAAACAGUAUUUGACAGUAAAAAAACAAACAUAUUUUAACAAACAUAAGUCUUGGUUCCUAUGGGAUUUUUUUGCCCCUACAUUUUCCAUUGUUUGUCCAGUUUUCAUUUCAAUUAAGUUUGAUUGCUUAACCUUGAGUAUGAGCAGUAGUGAGGGCUGCAUUAACAAGCUCCACUAAGUAUACUUUCGUAUACAUUCUUUCUUAGCUGAACAAAGACUGUAGGGUCUAUGUCUUUCUUUGUUUAGCUGUAUAAAUCUUUCAGAGGACUAAAAGUCUUGUCUCUGCGAGGCUCCGUCUCUGAUUUACGUGCAACAACAUCGGCUUGCACUUCAUUCAGUGUUUUCUCAGAGCGCUGAACCUCUUCAGCCAAGUGCAGCACGUUUGAUGUAAGUGUGGCAGACAGUCACUCCCCGUUCCCCUCUGCUCGUGUUUUAUGAGCUCUGACUAUAAAACCAAAGGCUGGACUGCCCAAUAGGAAACAGUCUCCCGAUGGGAUCAUAGAUGGCCUUGAAUGAAAGUAGGGGAAGAGGCUAAUUCUUUUUCUGACGUGGUGUACAUGACACUAAAGAUGAAUCUGGGUGUGUGUACGUAAGUGUUUCUGUGCAUUUUUCAUGUGCUCGGAGAGGGAUCUUUCCUUUUUGAAUUUCUUUUUUUAUUAUAAAAAUCCUGUUUCUGCCAUGGAAUUCUGAAUGUGAGAGAAAAACUCACAAUUCACAGUUUUUAUUUCACAAUUCUGACUUUUUUCUUGCAAUUUUGUAAAAAAAAAAAAAAAAAAAAAAAAAAAACCAAA